ensembl:lincRNA Gm29678 predicted gene, 29678
AUAUUUGUUCCCGGGCUUCUCUGAAGCGUCUGCGUUGAUUCACAGCACGCCCUUUCCCUUCCUCAGAGAGACAAGAGAAAUACGUCUGGAAGGGAGGAGCUCUGCCGCAGUGCCUACAGGACAUGAGGAGGACAGAGGAGCUUUGCAUAUGGAUCUGAUGGGCAGUGUCAGAGUCACCAUCCUCUGCCUGGCCCCAUCCCUCUCUCCAAAUCCUCUGACCUUCCUUUCUUCAUGUUCAGGUGAACAUAGUGAAGCUGGAGGAGGUGACAGACAGCAACAGAUGGACCAGCAUGUGGCCUCUAGACUAAAGGUCCCCGAGACAAAACACAGCUCUAUGGGAUGUCCUGCAAACACAGAGAAAUCUUCGUUAUGAAGAAGGUGGCAUCCCACGGGUCCAGGGCCCACAUACAGAUUACCUUGGGCUAUCUUGGCCCCCCUCUAAGCUAAAAAAAGAGGUAAGAGAUCAUUUAUUCUGGAGGCAAAUAAAAGUGACCAGGCCUGGGAUACCUUCAAUUCCAUCUUCUACCACAGUGCAGGUUCAGGAAGCUUUUCUAGCAACAGAACAAGGCUAGUCAUAAAUCAAGACAUUUCCAAAUACAUUGAUAGAAAUAUAAAGUAGGUGAACUGUGGCAAACUGGGGACAUCUUUGCUUUAGGCCUUAGAUGCCCUGAUGACAUCUUAGCCCUUGGGUUGCUAGAAGCAAGGGGUCCAUUUAUGUAUUCCAAAUCGUCACUAGGGGUUGUGAGCAGGGGAAUAUGAUGACCGUAACUGUUAGGCUCUGCUCUACUUCCCAGUGUUUUCACCUUCCCACCUGUACAGGAGUCCUCAGUCAAAGCAGUGCCUGCUGGGAAAUACAGCUUUCCCUCACCCUUGGCAACCACCGACUUCCUUCUAGUCCCAACCCAGAAGGCAUGUUUUUCCUGUUGGUGCUGUCUUUUGUCAGCGUGUGUGGGCAUCAAAUCCAGGAUCCUUGAAGAUGCCCACAUGCCCAGAAUGUAAGUGCUUCCUUCCAUCUGCCUCAGCACACUGAGAUCCCUGCAAUACCCAAUGCUCUGCAGUGACGUGAGCUGCUACAGUGUUUGGGGUGAUCAUGACAAGAAAAAGUAGGCAUACUCAGUACAGAAGCAAAGAUUG